rnacentral:rRNA from 1 species
AGAUUGAACGCUGGCGGCAGGCCUAACACAUGCAAGUCGAGCGGUAGAGAGGUGCUUGCACCUCUUGAGAGCGGCGGACGGGUGAGUAAUGCCUAGGAAUCUGCCUAGUGGUGGGGGAUAACGUUCGGAAACGGACGCUAAUACCGCAUACGUCCUACGGGAGAAAGCGGGGGACCUUCGGGCCUCGCGCCAUUAGAUGAGCCUAGGUCGGAUUAGCUAGUUGGUGAGGUAAUGGCUCACCAAGGCGACGAUCCGUAACUGGUCUGAGAGGAUGAUCAGUCACACUGGAACUGACGACACGGUCCAG